rnacentral:tRNA from 1 species
GCGGGUGUAGUUCAAUGGUAGAACUGGAGCUUCCCAAGCUCCAAACGUGAGUUCGAUUCUCACCAUCCGCUCCA